rnacentral:rRNA from 1 species
UACAGAGGGGGCAAGCGUUGUUUCGGAAUUACUGGGCGUAAAGGGCGCGUAGGCGGCCUGUUAAGUCGAACGUGAAAUCCCCGGGCUCAACCCGGGAACUGCGUCCGAUACUGGCAGGCUUGAAUCCGGGAGAGGGAUGCGGAAUUCCAGGUGUAGCGGUGAAAUGCGUAGAUAUCUGGAGGAACACCGGUGGCGAAGGCGGCGAUCCUGGACCGGCAUUGACG